AAAAAAAAAAAGAAUGAGAGAAACGAAGAGGAGAGAGAAAGAGGAAAGAGAAAAAGGAAAAAGGGUAUUUUGGUCAGUUUGCUGAAAAAGCGGACCGAAUCUGCAAAAACGAAAAAGGUGGCCCGGUUUUGCAAAAGCCCAAAAUAAGUGGAUUUUUUAUGCAAAUUGGCCAUUAAUUACACUCCAUUUCAAUUAAUUUAAUCUAUCUUUUUUGAAAUAAGCUACUUCCAGCCAUAGAAUUUAAGUUUUUUCUAUAAAAUUAUAAAAUUACAGUUAAUUAAUACCAUCAAAUCUAAUCCAUCGGUUAAAAUACAAAUAUUUGUCAUUAUUUCUACAAAAAAAUCCCUCUAUUUUUUUAAUUAUUUUACUUUUUUUGAAAAUUCAUUCAUCUCGUUUGCUAUUCUAUAUCGUACAUAUUUUUAAAAAUAAAUAACCCUCAUCACGUUUUCUCUC
rnacentral:lncRNA from 1 species